rfam:Cucumis melo, WGS project CAJI01000000 data, contig: 15884
GUUCAAACGAAGAAAUACUUACGAUGGAUACAUAGGCAUAAAAGACGAGGAAGGGCAUAGUAAGCGACGAAAUGCUUCGGGGAGUUGCAAAUAAGCGUAGAUCCAGAGAUUCCCAAAUAGGUCAACCUUUUAAAUUGCUGUUAAAUCCAUGAGCAGACAAGAAAUAACCUAGCGAACUGAAACAUCUUAGUAGCCAGAGGAAUAGAAAGCAAAAGUGAUUCCCUUAGUAGCAGUAAGCAAAAUGGGAGUAGCCUAAAUCAUGAAAACGGGGUUUUGGGAGAGCAAUACAAGUGUCGUGCUGCUAGGCGAAGUAGUCAAGUGUUGUACCCUAGAUGGCAAGAGUCUAGUAGCUGAAAGCAUCACUAGCUUAUGCUUUGACCCGAGUAGCAUGGGGCAUGUGGAAUCCCGUGUGAAUUAGCAAAGACUACCUUGCAAGGCUAAAUACUCCUAGGUGAUGGAUAGUGAAGUAGUAUGGUGAGGGAAGGGUAAAAAGAACCCUCUCAUCUGGGAGUGAAAUAGAACAUGAAAUCGUAAGCUUCCAAGCAAUGGGAGGAGACCAAGACUUUGACCGCGUGCCUUUUGAAGAAUGAGUCAAUGACUCAUAGGCAGUGGCUUGGUUAAAGGAACCCACCGGAGCCAUAGAGAAAGGGAGUCUUCAUGAGGCAAUUUUCCCUGCUUAUGGACUCGAACCUAGGUGAUCUAUCCAUGACCAGGACGAAGCUUAGGUGAAACUAAGUGGAGGUCCGAACCAACAUGUUACGAUAAUUUGAACUUGCUUGAUCUGUUCAAUUGCGACCUUAUAAUGCAAUCGCAUUCUCGGGCUUAAUUGUUGUUUUUGUUUAUGUAUUCCUGAUUUAUCCACUAGGUCAGUCUGGUAGGUUCUUUGCGCCUAGUUUUGGUGUAGCAAUUAUAUUUCGAUUCAUCCUAUUUUUCCAAGGGUUUCAUAAUUGGACAUUGAUCUCAUUUCAUAUAAUGGGAGUUGCGGGUGUAUUGGGCGCUACUCUGCGAUGCGUUAUUCUUGGUGCUAUCGUAGAAAAUACAUUAUUUGAGGAUGAGGAUGGUGUAAAUACAUUCCAUGCUUUUAACCUAACUCAAGCUGAAGAAACUUAUUCAAUGGUCACUACUAAUCGCUUUUGGUCCCAAAUCUUUGGGGUUGCUUUUUUCUGAUAGAUGUUGGUUACAUUUCUUUAUGUUAUUUGUACCAGUAACUAGUUUAUGGAUGAGUGCUCUUGGAGUAGUUGGUCUGGCCCUGAACCUACGUGCCUAUAACUUCAUUUCUCAGAAAAUCCAUGCAGCGGAAGAUCCUUAAUUUGAGACUUUCUAUACAAAAAAUAUUCUCUUAAACGAAGGUAUUCAUGCUUGGAUGGCAACUCAAGAUCAGCCUCAUGAAAACCUUAUAUUUCCUUAUGAGGUUCUACCUCGUGGAAACGCUCUUUAAUGGAACUUUAGUUUUAGCUGGUCGUGACGAAGAAACCACCGGUUUCACUUGGUGGAUCAGAAAUGUCUGAGUUAUCGAUUUAUCUGAUAAACUACUGGGGGCUCAUGUAGCCCAUGCCGGAUUAAUCGUAUUCUGGGUCGGAGGAAAGAACCUAUUUGAAAUGGCUCAUUUCGUACAAGAGAAGCCCAUGUAUGAACAAGAAUUAAUUUUACUUCCCCACCUAGCUACUUUAGAUUGAGGGUAGGUCCUGGUGGGCAAGUUAUAGACACCUUUUCCUACUUUGUAUCUAGAGUACUUCAUUUAAUUUCCUCCGCAAUAUUGAGUUCUGGCUAUAUUUAUCAUGCACUUCUGGGACCCAAGACCCUUGAAGAAUCUUUUCCAUUCUUCAGUUUUAUGUGGAAAGAUAGAAAUAAAACGACUACCAUUUUAGGUAUUCACUUAAUUUUGUUAGGUAUAUAUGUUUUUCUUCUAGUAUUCAAAGCAUUUUGUUUUUGGGGUGUAUAUGAUACCUGGGCUCCGGAAGGGAGGGGGAGAUGUG